GAUCUGGAGGUCAUCAGAGGGGCGUGGAAUUUCCGGUGUAGCGGUUAAAUGCGCAGAUAUCGGAAGGAACACCAGUGCCGAAAGCGGCGCCCUGGGGUGGACCUGACGCUGAGAGACGAAAGCUAGGGGAGCGAACAGGAUUACGAGACCCUGGUAGUCCUAGCUAUAGACGAUGGAUGCUAGGUGUGGGGUCGAGAAGACUCCGUGCCGGAGCCAACGCGAUAAGCAUCCCGCCUGGGGACUACGGCCGCAAGGCUAAAACUCAAACGAAUUGACGGGGCCCCGCACAAGCAGCGGAGCGUGUGGUUCAAUUCGAUGCUACACGAAGAACCUUACCUGGGUUUGACAUGGAGGUGGUAGGGAAGCGAAAGCGGACCGACCCUUCGGGGAGCCUUCACAGGUGCUGCAUGGCUGUCGUCAGCUCGUGCCGUGAGGUGUCGGGUUAAGUCCCGUAACGAGCGCAGCCCUUGCCCUUAGUUACAAGUCUCUAAGGGGACUGCCGGCGGUAAGCCGGAGCCACCUGGGGAUCACGUCAAGUCAGCAUGGCCCUUAUAUCCAGGGCUACACACACGCUACAAUGGUCGGUACAAAGGGCAGCGAAGCCGCGAGGUGAAGCGAAUCCCAUCAAAGCCGAUCGUAGUUCGGAUUGCAGGCUGCAACUCGCAUGCAUGAAGCUGGAGUUGCUAGUAACCGCGCGUCAGCCAUACUGCCGUGAUACGUUCCCGGGGCUUGACACACCGCCCGUCACGUCAUGGGAGU
rnacentral:rRNA from 1 species